GACAGAGGGUGCAAACGUUGUUCGGAAUUACUGGGCGUAAAGCGCACGUAGGCGGGUUGUUAGGUCAGGGGUGAAAUCCUGGAGCUCAACUCCAGAACUGCCUUUGAUACUGGCAACCUAGAGACUGGAAGAGGUUAGUGGAAUUCCCAGUGUAGAGGUGAAAUUCGUAGAUAUUGGGAAGAACACCAGUGGCGAAGGCGGCUAACUGGUCCAGCACUGACGCUGAGGUGCGAAAGCGUGGGGAGCAAACAGG
rnacentral:rRNA from 1 species